rnacentral:ncRNA from 1 species
UAAUCAAUUUUGGGGUGCCUUAAUAUUUCGGGCUGAGAUCAUACCCUUUGAACCUGCGCGGGUAAUUCCGGGAAGGGAAUAAGAUUUAUCAUUUU